AUUGAACGCUGGCGGCAGGCCUAACACAUGCAAGUCGAGCGAGCGGCGGACGGGUGAGUAAUGCCUGGGAAUUGCCCAGUCGAGGGGGAUAACAGUAGGAAACGACUGCUAAUACCGCAUACGAUGGGAUGGCGCAGGUGGGAUUAGCUAGUUGGUGAUGUAAUGGCUCACCAAGGCGACGAUCCCUAGCUGGUCUGAGGGUAUGAUCAUCCACACUUGAACUGAGACACGGUCCAGACUCCUACGGGAGGCAGCAGUGGGAAAUAUUGCACAAUGGGUGAAACCCUGAUGCAGCCAUGCCGCGUGUGUGAAGAAGGGCUUCGGGUUGUAAAGCACUUUCAGCGAGGAGGCGUUACUCGCAGAAGAAGCACCGGCUAACUCCGUGCCAGCAGCCGCGGUAAUUC
rnacentral:rRNA from 1 species